UACGGGGGGAGCAAGCGUUGUUCGGAUUUACUGGGCGUAAAGGGCGCGGUAGGCGGUCGUGACAAGUCACUUGUGAAAUCUUCGGGCUUAACUCGGAACGGUCAAGUGAUACUGUCGGACUAGAGUACAGAAGGGGCAACUGGAAUUCUCGGUGUAGCGGUGAAAUGCGUAGAUAUCGAGAGGAACACCUGCGGCGAAGGCGGGUUGCUGGGCUGAUACUGACGCUGAGGCGCGAAAGCCAGGGGAGCGAACGGG
rnacentral:rRNA from 1 species